UUUCUGUCCUUCAGCUGUCUGUACCAAGUUCUCUGAACCUGCUGCCUGGUCAGAUUCACAUGAUGAAGGAAAUGAUAGAGAAAGAGAAAAUAAGGCAGCGGCUUCUUUCAUCUCCUCCUCCAUCCUCGGCUUCUGACAAUUAUGUUACUGUACAGUCAGACAUGCCUUCGUGUUAUCGUAAUGUCACUCGUGUCGAAGCUGAAUACUUGUUGGAUAGAAACACUGAUCGGGGAAACUUACUGCUGCGGCCGGGUCAUGAUGGGACGUCUUUUGCCCUCACUACACGCCAAGAUAUUAACGGACCAGUAUUCAAACAUUAUCGUGUGUCUCGGAGUCAUGGAGGAGGAUUCGCCAUUGCCGUUGAGACUCCUGUAA